UACGUAGGGUGCGAGCGUUGUCCGGAAUUAUUGGGCGUAAAGAGCUUGUAGGCGGUUUGUCGCGUCUGCUGUGAAAACUGGAGGCUCAACCUCCAGCCUGCAGUGGGUACGGGCAGACUAGAGUGCGGUAGGGGAGAUUGGAAUUCCCGGUGUAGCGGUGAAAUGCGCAGAUAUCAGGAGGAACACCGGUGGCGAAGGCGGGUCUCUGGGCCGUAACUGACGCUGAGGAGCGAAAGCGUGGGGAGCGAACAGG
rnacentral:rRNA from 1 species